rnacentral:rRNA from 1 species
UCGGAGGCCGCUACAUAGGUGCUGCAUGGCUGUCGUCAGCUCGUGUCGUGAGAUGUUGGGUUAAGUCCCGCAACGAGCGCAACCCUUGUCCAUAGUUGCUAACGCGUCAUGGCGAGAACUCUAUGGAGACUGCCGGUGAUAAACCGGAGGAAGGUGGGGAUGACGUCAAGUCCUCAUGGCCUUUAUGUCCAGGGCUACACACGUGCUACAAUGGACGGUACAAAGGGUUGCAAAGCCGCAAGGUGGAGCUAAUCCCAAAAAGCCGUUCUCAGUUCGGAUUGUUCUCUGCAACUCGAGAGCAUGAAGCUGGAAUCGCUAGUAAUCGCGGAUCAGAACGCCGCGGUGAAUACGUUCCCGGGCCUUGUACACACCGCCCGUCACAUCACGAAAGUCGGUUGCACUAGAAGUCGGUGGGCUAACCCG